rnacentral:rRNA from 1 species
GCUACCAUGCAGUCGAGCGGUAAGGCCUUUCGGGGUACACGAGCGGCGAACGGGUGAGUAACACGUGGGUGAUCUGCCCUGCACUUCGGGAUAAGCCUGGGAAACUGGGUCUAAUACCGGAUAUGACCUCCUAUCGCAUGGUGGGUGGUGGAAAGAUUUAUCGGUGCAGGAUGGGCCCGCGGCCUAUCAGCUUGUUGGUGGGGUAAUGGCCUACCAAGGCGACGACGGGUAGCCGACCUGAGAGGGUGACCGGCCACACUGGGACUGAGACACGGCCCAGACUCCUACGGGAGGCAGCAGUGGGGAAUAUUGCACAAUGGGCGAAAGCCUGAUGCAGCGACGCCGCGUGAGGGAUGACGGCCUUCGGGUUGUAAACCUCUUUCAGCAGGGACGAAGCGCAAGUGACGGUACCUGCAGAAGAAGCACCGGCUAACUACGUGCCAGCAGCCGCGGUAAUACGUAGGGUGCAAGCGUUGUCCGGAAUUACUGGGCGUAAAGAGUUCGUAGGCGGUUUGUCGCGUCGUUUGUGAAAACCAGCAGCUCAACUGCUGGCUUGCAGGCGAUACGGGCAGACUUGAGUACUGCAGGGGAGACUGGAAUUCCUGGUGUAGCGGUGAAAUGCGCAGAUAUCAGGAGGAACACCGGUGGCGAAGGCGGGUCUCUGGGCAGUAACUGACGCUGAGGAACGAAAGCGUGGGUAGCGACCAGGAUUAGAUACCCUGGUAGUCCACGCCGUAAACG